rnacentral:misc_RNA from 1 species
CUUUCACGUUUCCUUCACAAAUCAGUUGUUUACAAAGAUCGGAGAAUCUCUGUUUCUUCUGCAGAAUUUUGGGGAUUUUUUUGUGGAAAAAUGGCGAGACCUAAUCAAGAAGAAAUCGAGACAUUCAUGAGCAUUACUGGUGUUUCUGAAGCCACCGCUAUUCAGAAACUUGAGGAGCAUGGCGGGAGUCUGAAUGAAGCUGUGAAUGCGCAUUUCAACCAGGGGGACAUCAAUAGAGUACAUCCAGCACCUGUUUCUGCUGCUCCACACGAGGAUGAUAUG